UACGAAGGGGGCUAGCGUUGUUCGGAUUUACUGGGCGUAAAGCGCACGUAGGCGGAUCGAUCAGUCAGGGGUGAAAUCCCAGAGCUCAACUCUGGAACUGCCUUUGAUACUGUCGAUCUGGAGUAUGGAAGAGGUGAGUGGAAUUCCGAGUGUAGAGGUGAAAUUCGUAGAUAUUCGGAGGAACACCAGAAGCGAAGGCGGCCAACUGGCCCGAUACUGACGCUGAGGCGCGAAAGCGUGGGGAGCAAACAGG
rnacentral:rRNA from 1 species